rnacentral:rRNA from 1 species
UACGGGGGGGGUAAGCGUUGUUCGGAAUUACUGGGCGUAAAGGGCUCGUAGGCGGCCAACUAAGUCAUACGUGAAAUCCCUCAGCUUAACUGGGGAACUGCGUGUGAUACUGGAUGGCUUGGAUUUGGGAGAGGGAUGCGGAAUUCCAGGUGUAGCGGUGAAAUGCGUAGAGAUCAGGAGGAACACCCGUAGCGAAGGCGGCACUCUGGGCCGAUACUGACACUGAGGAGCGAAAGCGUGGGGAGCGAACAGG